rnacentral:rRNA from 1 species
AAUAAAUGCAAAUAAAAAUUUUUAUUUAAAGUUAAAAUGUCAUUUAAAAUUUUUAAUUAAAUUUAUUAGGUUAAAUUUUAAAUUUAAAAAAUUAUUUAAUUUAAGAUUAUUUUAAGCUUAAAAAUUUUAUUAUUAAACUAGGAUUAGAUACCCUACUAUAAAAAAUGUAAAUUAAAAAAAUAGAGUAGUAUUAGUUAUAUUCUUAAAACUUAAUAAAUUUGGCGGUAUUUUAAUCUAUUCAGAGGAACUUGUUUUAUAAUUGAUAAUCCUCAUUAAAUCUUACUUAAUUUAUUUAAUUUGUAUACCAUCGUCAUAAGAAUCUCUUAAAAAAGAAAAAAUUUUCUUAAUAAUCUAUUAAUUUAAAUGUCAGAUCAAGGUGCAGUUUAUAAUUAAGAAAAAAUGAGUUACAAUAAAAUUAUUUAAAUGAAUUUUAAAUUUUAAUAUUUAAAUGAAGGUGGAUUUGAUAGUAAAUUUAAUAAAAAAGUUAAAUUGAUUUUAGUUCUAAAAUAUGCACAUAUCGCCCGUCGCUCUCGUUAUUUAAAAUGAG